ACGAACGCCGGCGGCAGGCUUAACACAUGCAAGUCGAGCGGAUGACGGGAGCUUGCUCCUGGAUUCAGCGGCGGACGGGUGAGUAAUGCCUAGGAAUCUGCCUGGUAGUGGGGGACAACGUUUCGAAAGGAACGCUAAUACCGCAUCCGUCCUACGGGAGAAAGCAGGGGACCUUCGGGCCUUGCGCUAUCAGAUGAGCCUAGGUCGGAUUAGCUAGUUGGUGAGGUAAUGGCUCACCAAGGCGACGAUCCGUAACUGGUCUGAGAGGAUGAUCAGUCACACUGGAACUGAGACACGGUCCAGACUCCUACGGGAGGCAGCAGUGGGGAAUAUUGGACAAUGGGCGAAAGCCUGAUCCAGCCAUGCCGCGUGUGUGAAGAAGGUCUUCGGAUUGUAAAGCACUUUAAGUUGGGAGGAAGGGUUGUAGAUUAAUACUCUGCAAUUUUGACGUUACCGACAGAAUAAGCACCGGCUAACUCUGUGCCAGCAGCCGCCGUAAAAC
rnacentral:rRNA from 1 species